UACGUAGGGUGCGAGCGUUGUCCGGAAUUACUGGGCGUAAAGAGCGCGCAGGCGGUCGUUCAAGUCGAGUGUGAAAGCCCCCGGCUCAACUGGGGAGGGUCACGCGAUACUGAUCGACUCGAAGGCAGGAGAGGGUAGUGGAAUUCCCGGUGUAGUGGUGAAAUGCGUAGAUAUCGGGAGGAACACCAGUGGCGAAGGCGACUACCUGGCCUGUUCUUGACGCUCAUGCACGAAAGCGUGGGGAGCAAACAGG
rnacentral:rRNA from 1 species